rnacentral:rRNA from 1 species
GAUGAACGCUGGCGGCGUGCUUAACACAUGCAAGUCGAACGGAAAGGCUCCUGCUUGUAGGGGUACUCGAGUGGCGAACGGGUGAGUAACACGUGGGUGACCUGCCCUGCACUUCGGGAUACGCCUGGGAAACUUGGUUUAAUACUGGAUAGUACGAUGGGUUGGGUGUCAUUGUUGAAAGUUUUUCGGUGUGGGAUUAGUUCGCGUUCUAUCAUCUUGUUGUUGGGGGAAUGGCCCACCAAGGCGGCGAAGGGUAGCCGGCCUGAGAGGGGGGUCGGCCACAUUGGGACUGAGCUACGGCCCAGACCCCUACGGGAGGCAGCAGUGUGGAAUAUUGCACAAUGGGCGCAAGCCUGAUGCAGCAACGCCGCGUUAGGGAUGGCAGCCUUCGGGUUGUAGACUCCUUUCGCUGGUGACGAAGCGCAAGUGACGGUACCUGGAGAAGAAGCACCGGCUAACUACGUG